AUGGCAGCAGGCGGCAGCGAUCCACGGGCUGACGAUGUAGAGGAGGACACUUCACAGCUCCUUUUUCCUAAAGAGUUUGAAACAGCGGAGACCCUUCUAAAUUCAGAAGUUCAUAUGCUUCUGGAACAUCGAAAGCAAUAGAACGAGAGUGCAGAGGAUGAACAGGAACUCUCAGAAGUCUUCAUGAAAACAAUGAAACUACACAGGCCGUUUCAGUGGUUUCGAAAACAGAGAGACCAUUGCCAGUGUUCGUAGCUCUAGAAAAACCUUCAUAAAUUUGAGUUGGUCUGUUUGGCCAACCUUUGCCCAGAGACUGCUGAGGAGUCCAAGGCUCUAAUCCCAAACUUGGAGGGGUGGUUUGAAGAUGAGGAGCUGCAGCAGGUUCUUGAUGAUAUCCAGACAAAGCACAGCUUUCAGUAUU
rnacentral:lncRNA from 1 species